ensembl:snRNA U1 U1 spliceosomal RNA
UUACUUACCUGGCAGGGGAGACACUAUGAUCAGGCAGGUGGUUUUCCCAGGGUGAGGCUCAUCCUUUGCACUCUGGGUGUGCUGACCCCUGCGAUUUCCCCAAAUUCAGGGAAGCUUGUUUAUUUUUAUC